GACAGAGGGGGGCAAGCGUUGCUCGGAAUCACUGGGCGUAAAGGGCGCGUAGGCGGGAUGGCAAGUCGGUCGUGAAAUCCUUCGGCUCAACCGAAGAACGUCGGCCGAUACUGCCGUUCUUGAGGGAUGCAGAGGAGAUUGGAAUUCCCGGUGUAGCGGUGAAAUGCGUAGAGAUCAUGAGGAAGACCAGUGGCGAAGGCGGGUCUCUGGACAGUUCCUGACACUGAGGCACGAAGGCCAGGGGAGCAAACGGG
rnacentral:rRNA from 1 species